CGGACGGGUGAGUAAUGCUUGGGAAUCUAGCUUAUGGAGGGGGAUAACUACGGGAAACUGUAGCUAAUACCGCGUAAUAUCGGAAGAUUAAAGUGUGGGACCUUCGGGCCACAUGCCAUAGGAUGAGCCCAAGUGGGAUUAGGUAGUUGGUGAGGUAAAGGCUCACCAAGCCGACGAUCUCUAGCUGGUCUGAGAGGAUGACCAGCCACACUGGGACUGAGACACGGCCCAG
rnacentral:rRNA from 1 species